rnacentral:rRNA from 1 species
AUAUUGGACAAUGGGGGAAACCCUGAUCCAGCUAUCCCGCGUGUGUGAAGAAGGACUUCGUAUUGUAAAGUACUUUAUGUUGGGAGGAAAGGCAGUAAGUUAAUACCUUGCUGAUUUGACGUUACGGAAAGAAUAAGCACCGGCUAACUCCGUGUCAGCAGCCGCGGUAAUACGAAGGGUGCAAGCGUUAAGCGGAAUUACUGGGCGUACAGCGCGCGUAGGUGGUUUGUUAAGUUGGAAGUGAAAGCCCCGGGCUCAACCUGGGAACUGCUUUCAAAACUGGCAAGCUAGAGUAUGGCAGAGGGUGGUGGAAUUUCCUGUGUAGCGGUGAAAUGCGUAGAUAUAGGAAGGAACACCAGUGGCGAAGGCGACUACCUGGACUGAUACUGACACUGAGGUGCGAAAGCGUGGGGAGCAAAC